GCCUGGCGGCAGCUUACACAUGCAGUCCAGCGGGGAAAUGUAGCUUGCUACAUUACCUAGCGGCGGACGGGUGAGUAAUGCUUAGGAAUCUGCCUAUUAGUGGGGGACAACAUUUCGAAAGGAAUGCUAAUACCGCAUACGCCCUACGGGGGAAAGCAGGGGAUCUUCGGACCUUGCGCUAAUAGAUGAGCCUAAGUCGGAUUAGCUAGUUGGUGGGGUAAAGGCCUACCAUGGCGACGAUCUGUAGCGGGUCUGAGAGGAUGAUCCGCCACACUGGGACUGAGACACGGCCCAGACUCCUACGGGAGGCAGCAGUGGGGAAUAUUGGACAAUGGGGGGAACCCUGAUCCAGCCAUGCCGCGUGUGUGAAGAAGGCCUUUUGGUUGUAAAGCACUUUAAGCGAGGAGGAGGCUACCUAGAUUAAUACUCUGGGAUAGUGGACGUUACUCGCAGAAUAAGCACCGGCUAACUCUGUGCCAGCAGCCGCGGUAAU
rnacentral:rRNA from 1 species